GCCAUGUUACGUCUCAUUACAACUGUAAAAAAAACGGAGAAAAUUAAACGCGCCAUAUUGUGCACUAUACCACACACUCCAAGGGUAACACAGGACCAAGCAACACAGUUGAAAAAAUUUAAUAAUUUUAUUAGAAAUCAAACUGAUAAUAAUAGGCUAAUCCUGUGUGACGUGGAGGAGAAAUUCAAAAACUUUAAAAAUGUAUUUGAAAGUGACGGAAUCCACUUCAACAAGAAGAGUUUGGAUUUAUUUAAAAAAAUUAUUUUUGGGUAUUGUAUAUACUUAGCUCUCGU